rnacentral:rRNA from 1 species
CAAAGGGCUCACGGAGGAUACCUAGGCACACAGAGGCGAUGAAGGACGUGGUUACCUGCGAUAAGUCUCGGGGAGUUGGAAGCACACUUUGAUCCGGGAAUUUCCGAAUGGGGCAACCCCUUGAACGACCAACUGAAUAUAUAGGUUGGUGCGAGCUAACCCAGCGAACUGAAACAUCUUAGUAGCUGGAGGAAGAGAAAGUAAAUAACGACUCCCUCAGUAGCGGCGAGCGAACGGGGAAUAGCCCAAACCGAUAGUCUUGACUAUCGGGGUUGUGGGACAGCAAUAUGGAUUAACAAUUCUAGAAGAAACGUUUGAAUGGCGUGCCAUAGAGGGUGAAAGCCCCGUAAUUGAAAGAUGAGUUGACCUAGCUGUAUCCCGAGUAGCACGGAGCACGUGGAAUUCCGUGUGAAUCUGCGAGGACCACCUCGUAAGGCUAAGUACUACUGUGUGACCGAUAGUGAAACAGUACCGCGAGGGAAAGGUGAAAAGAACCCCGGGAGGGGAGUGAAAUAGAACAUGAAACCGUGAGCUUACAAGCAAUGGGAGCCCGACUAAUCGGGUGACCGUGUGCCUGUUGAAGAAUGAGCCGGCGACUUAUAGGCACUGGCGGGUUAAACCGGAAAUGGUGGAGCCACAGCGAAAGCGAGUCUUAAUAGGGCGUUUGUCAGUGUUUAUAGACCCGAACCCUGGUGAUCUAACCAUGGCCAGGAUGAAGCUUGGGUGAUACCAAGUGGAGGUCCGAACCGACUGAAGUUGAAAAUUCAGCGGAUGAGCUGUGGUUAGGGGUGAAAUGCCAAUCGAACCAGGAGCUAGCUGGUUCUCCCCGAAAUACGUUGAGGCGUAGCGUCUAGUGCUCCAGCAGGGGGGUAAAGCAACCAUUUCGGUGCGGGCUGCGAAAGCGGUACCAAAUCGAUAUGAACUCUGAAUACCCUGUGUGUAACUAGGCAGUCAGACUGUGGGGGAUAAGCUCCAUAGUCAAGAGGGAAACAGCCCAGACCGCCAGCUAAGGUCCCAAAAUUAACGCUAAGUGAUAAAGGAGGUGGGAUUGCCCAGACAACCAGGAGGUUUGCCUAGAAGCAGCCAUCCUCAAAGGAGUGCGUAAUAGCUCACUGGUCGAGCGAUCCUGCGCCGAAAAUGAAUGGGGCUAAGCGUUAUACCGAAGCUGCGGAUAAAUUUAUUUAUGGUAGGGGAGCGUUCUAUGUUGGGUGAAGCGUUAGCGUAAGCGGACGUGGACGGCAUAGAAGUGAGAAUGUCGGCUUGAGUAGCGAAAACAUGGGUGAGAAUCCCAUGCCCCGAAACCCUAAGGGUUCCUCCGGCAGGCUCGUCCGCGGAGGGUUAGUCUGGACCUAAGGCGAGGCCGAAAGGCGUAGUCGAUGGAUAACAGGUCAAUAUUCCUGUACCAGUUAUGUUUUGGGAAGGGGGACGGAGAAGGCUAGCCAGGCCAGAUGUUGGUUACUGGUUCAAGCGUUCAAGGCUUUGAGAGAUGGAGAAAACAUCUUGAGCUGAGGCGUGAGUACGAGCUGCUACGGCAGCGAAGUUGGUGAUGUCAUGCUUCCAAGAAAAGCCCUAUACCCGUUAAGACAUAAAUGCCAGUACCCGAAACCGACACAGGUGGGGUGGUAGAGAAUACCGAGGGGCGCGAGAUAACUCUCUCUAAGGAACUCGGCAAAAUGGCCCCGUAACUUCGGGAGAAGGGGUGCCAGCGAGAGCUGGUCGCAGUGAAGAGGCGCAAGCGACUGUUUACCAAAAACACAGGUCUCCGCUAAGUCGCAAGACGAUGUAUGGGGGCUGACACCUGCCCAGUGCCGGAAGGUUAAGGAAGCUGGUUAGCUUUUAGCAAAGCUGGCGACUGAAGCCCCGGUGAACGGCGGCCGUAACUAUAACGGUCCUAAGGUAGCGAAAUUCCUUGUCGGGUAAGUUCCGACCCGCACGAAAGGUGUAACGAUUUGCGCGCUGUCUCGGAGAGAGGCUCGGCGAAAUAGAAUUGUCUGUGAAGAUGCGGACUACAUACACCCGGACAGAAAGACCCUAUGAAGCUUUACUGUAGUUUGAUAUUGUGCUCGGGCUCUAAUUGCGCAGAAUAGGUGGGAGACGUUGAAAUAGUACUUGUGGGUAUUAUUGAGUCAUCGGUGAGAUACCACUCUAUUAGAGCUAGGGUUCUAACGCUUACCCGUUAUCCGGGAAGCGGACAGUAUCUGAUGGGCAGUUUGACUGGGGCGGUCGCCUCCUAAAAGGUAACGGAGGCGCACAAAGGUUCCCUCAGGCUGGUUGGAAAUCAGUCGUUGAGUGCAAAAGCAGAAGGGAGCUUGACUGUGAGACCUACAAGUCGAACAGGGACGAAAGUCGGUUUUAGUGAUCCGACGGUUCUGCGUGGAAGGGCCGUCGCUCAACGGAUAAAAGUUACUCUAGGGAUAACAGGCUGAUCUCCCCCAAGAGUUCACAUCGACGGGGAGGUUUGGCACCUCGAUGUCGGCUCAUCGCAACCUGGGGCUGAAGUCGGUCCCAAGGGUUGGGCUGUUCGCCCAUUAAAGCGGUACGCGAGCUGGGUUCAGAACGUCGUGAGACAGUUCGGUCCAUAUCCGGUGUAUGCGCAGGAAUAUUGAGAGGAUUUCUCCCUAGUACGAGAGGACCGGGAGGAACGCACCUCUGGUGUGCCAGUUAUCGUGCCAACGGUAAACGCUGGGUAGCCAUGUGCGGAGUGGAUAACCGCUGAAAGCAUCUAAGUGGGAAGCCCACCUCAAGAUGAGUAUUGCCAUGGCUUAAGCCAGUAAGGUCACGGGAAGAACACCCGUUGAUAGGCUCUACGUGGAAGCUUGGUAACAAGUGCAGCGGAGGAGUACUAAUAGACCGAGGGCUUGACCA